GGGAGAAUAACAACACUGUUGCACUAUUCAUAAGAAGUGUUGGAAAAAUCCUCACUGUUGAAUGGAAUAUCAAGCUGGUCUGUGUUGGAUAGGGAUAAUGAUCGGGAGUUGGGAUUGAGUCAAGAUGAGCAAAACUGAAAGAAGGGAGCAGAGAGAGAAGAGAAAUAGAAGGGACGAAAGGGGAAGAUAUGUGAGCCGUGGAAAGAAGAGAGAAGAAAGAAAAGACCAUCAAGAUCAACAAAAGCGAAAGAAAAGAGCAGAGAGAAAAGAGGAAUAGAAGAGACGAAAGCAGAAGAUCUAUCCCUUUGUUUUCUACUUUGAUAUCUGGGUAGCCAACUGCAACAGUUUCAAGCUGUGGUCCUUGCAACAGUGAGAAUUUGGUUUGGUCAAAGCAGGUUUGGGAUAAGCAAAUUAUAAUUUGAAAACAGGUAAGAACAUUGCUUGAUUUGUGAUUUUUCUAGAUCAAUUCUGGUUUGCAGUUUUCAAUUGAAUUAAUGGUUAACUAAUUUUGGAUGCGAUUUUGAUGUUUUUCUAAGUUUUUUUUAUUUCUUUUGAUUGACUGAUAGCAGUAUGUAGGAACAUGAUUUGCAGGGUCUCCGAAAUCUGUUACCACAAAUUGAUCUUUAGCUUUCUGUCAGUUUUUCAGUUCAAGUUAGAAUUUAUAACUAUAUGAUAUAAUGCUUUGGGUUUCAUAACGAAAUUGUUUCAGUUGUCUUUAUUGAAUUUUACCCUUUGAUAAUAUAUUAAGAAUGCAGCAACAAUCAUAGCAGUAAUCGAAUUGAGAUUCAACUUUCAAAUCUUCUUAUUAUUUGUCUGAAUCAUUCGUUCUUUUCUUCUUUGUUAUAUAUUCUUUGCAAAAAUAGUUACAUGAUGUUUUUAAAUAGACAGAUUGUUGCAUUUAGAUUCGUUAAGUCUAGAUUCUGUUGGAGUAAAACACAGGCAGCUAAGCCCUUAACACAGUUAAUAGAACUUUGUUCUAAAGUUGGGGAAAGCUUCAGGAAGCUUGAAGUUGACAGUGGUGUAAUCAAUGUUAUUAAACUAAUUGAGAUUCAUAAUUGGGAUCUAAGACAACAAGGUCCAAUCUUUGAUGACAUCUGAUUAACAGCAACCAAAAAGGCCAUACAUAGUAAAGACUCGGUAUUUUAUAAAGAGACACCUAGCAUAGCUUGAAAAUUUUAAACCAAAAAAUAGGUAGUUACCAGUCGUAAAAGUUAUUGAACACUUUUUGUCAGUAAUUGAUCUAAUCAUAUUGAAUUUUGAGACACGCCUUCCGAUCUCAGCAAAAAUUUCAGUUCUACUUCAACAAUUUUCAAGAAAUUUAACCUAUAGGAUAAAGCUUUCAUUUAGAGUGAUAUGGGUACGUAUUUGAAAUUUGGAUUGCAGUUCUCUUUUUUUUUUUUCCUCCAGAUUCAUAGCUGUUAAUCUUUUGAGUAUCUUACAAUUUGUGACUUUUUAAUCUUUUGUUGGCAUGCAUUCUGAUUUCAUUUGUCUUUUUUUUUAUUGAAGUUGGUAACAGUUGCUAUUGUUUUGAUUAAGGUUUGAGUUCUUGGCUUUGGUUGCAUCUGCUGAAAGGGUUAAAGCUUUUGUGUUUGUGUAAUUGAACAGACUUUCUUGGUGGAUAGUUCAUAUAUAUCUCUGUUUGAUUACUUGGAAACACUGCAAAAGGCUUGGAUUUCUUGAUUUUUCUUUAUUUGAUUGAUGAAAAAACUGUGUAGAAGAUAAAAUUCUUUGGGUUUUCUGUGUUUUUGACAAAUUAUGACCUGUGCUCACGUAAUUGCGUGUUCAUCAGAUAAAAUUUUAUUUCCUUUUAUAUUAUGGAGGACAGGCAUUACUCCUCCAACUGUGUUUAUCAUUUUCGCUGGAAGCUUCAAAGGUAUGAGAAUUAUUUUUUUGAAGUAUAUAAAUUGCAGCAAAAGGAUUAAGGGCAGUGUGUUUGUUUGUCUCUCUUUAGUGUAAGUUUUCUAUUCCAUUAUGACAAAGACAAAAGAAGAAAACAUGAGAGGCUUUAUAUACUGAAAAGAAAUUAUGAUAAUUAGACAUGUCAGGAUCACAUUACCAUAUAUGUAAACUUGACUGUAAGCUCCAACUCAAGUGUAGGAUAGGGUCACUGAGAAUAUAGUAAGUCCCAUGUAUGUAUAAUGAUAUAAGUUUGACUACCAAAUGCGGUUAUUUAAAUGCUUACUCCCUUUUUGUAGAUGACAUUUUAAAAGUUGGAAAUGAUGUUUUAGGUUUCAGAAUGGUGGAUGUGUAUAUUAAGAAACCUGAUUUUCCCAUUGUGGAAGUUUCUAUCUUUUUGUUGUGGUUACUACUCAAUGCACCUUUCAUUGUUUGUUUUGUGGAUUUAGCACCCAGGACAUCACUUUCCAAAUCAACCUGAAGUUCUUUAAACAUAGCCAUAACCUGAAUCAUUACAUUUGCUGCAAAUGACGAAUCUGACUUUGUACACACAUGACUACCUUAUAUGAAAUAGUUGGUCACCACUACAAGUCUAAACCAUUUGUUGUCAAGCCUGACCAUGUCUGCUAUAUGUACAUAAACACCUACUAUUGUUAGCAUAUCUAACUUUGAAAUCUGGCCAACUUACCAGAUUUUGAACAUGUAAGACAAUUUAUAAUAUAUAAUGUAGCAAUGUAAUAUAAACAAUGUUUCUAAAUUCAGUAGCAUUGAAUCAAACGAUAUCGCUUAUAUUCCAGCAGUCUCUGUACCUGAAAGCUUUUACUACUUUUGUACCUUCAGUCUAUAGUUUGCAUUUGUGAGAGCAAUGAAAAUUAAGUUAUAUCACUUCAUAUUAAUGCACUUGAAUAGGAUACUCAUUCUUUUGCUUUCAAUUCUAAAACUGAUUCUUAUUGUUCUGGGUUAUGAUUGUAGGUACAGCUGGUACCGAACUUAAGAAGAAGAACCUGCUGUUCUGUGUAUUACCAGAUUAAAGGGCCUUGAGGAAUCCUUCAGCUGAUGCAAUUCCCAUUAAACUCGAGGAACUUAAGAAUGUAUUUGAACAAUCUCCUAACCACAUUCCUGUGAUGCUGGCCAAUCCUGAUUUUGUGACUAUUGAAACUACAAACACAAAAUAAGUGAGUGUAGCUUUUAUGCUUCAUUAAACAUUGACAUUCAUUAACUAUUCCCGCAGCAAAGUGCAGGUAGAUUUUACUAUUCUAAAUAUACGAAAGACAAACCAACUGUUCACACCUGUUCAUUGGCGGUGAAAGGUCGUUUCUACCCUUGCUUUUCACCCGCAAUCUCAGACUGCCAUUGGUGUGUACGCAUAUCAACAUCAUCUUCAUAAGUCUUGCCAACCUUCCACGUGUAGUGAUUAAUUACCAUACACCUAUCGGGCUUGAUGUCCUUCUGAAGUAGACCGAUGCAUCGAAUUCUCAGUCGAGAUCAAAUAUCAGCUGAUACGCUAUUCACCAACAAAGUCUCUUUCAAAGUUCAAACACUGCAGUCAAAAGAGGGGUCGACGAAUCAAUUUGUCUUAUUUUUGGAAAAGUGCUUUGCGAGUUGAGUAACUGGAGUUUGUACCUAGAAGAUUGGGUUCAUCGCGGAAGCUAGUGUGUUGGGUUUUGAUUGGGUCCAGUUUGUGACGAGAAGACGUUAAAAACGAGUAGAACAGAUAGAGGUUCGGGCGGUUGGUUGGGCUGAUUGGGGAAAAUGGUGGAGCUGCAGACGCCAAAAACUCGGGCAAUUUUUUCAAUUUCUUGAUUCCUUUGCAGCCGGUCUCACGUUCCGCUCCACACGCCAUUUUGCAUUUGAAGUUGGAUUGUUUGCUUGAAGCUGAGCAAGUUGGAGUUGAGGGAUAUGGCGUUGUUCUUAUUAAUACUGAAGAGGCAGGUACCAUGAUAGUCACCAAUUUUCAGCUUCUUUUUCUGAUUGAGGGAACUAGGAAUGUUAUUCCGCUUGGCACGAUACCUUUGGCAACAAUUGAGAAGUUCAACAAAAUUCGAUUUCUGUUCAGUUUUCAUCCUGAGCUGAGGUCAUCAUCAGCGUGGUGCUUCAAUCGAUUUCCCAAGUUUGAGACUUUGUGCAUGUGUAGAAUUUGACUCAGUCUUAAAUGGUGCUUGGAUAUGGUUGGAGGAAUGGAGGCUAGCCAAGGAUUCUUUUGUCCGUCAAGCCUCAGCUCUAUUUCAAAAAUGUAAAUCACUUAGCAAGGACAGAGAAGUAAACAAUAACUUUUUCUGCUGUGUGUCAAAGCUAAGUGAAGUUUCAGUGCAAUCAAGUUUAGUUGGAUUUGGAUAAUAUCUGGUAAUACACCAUGUUCCUUUUUUUUUUUUUUUUCCUUUUUUCUUUCCGGAGAUAGAGCAAUCUUGCACUUUUGAUAUAUAGAACAAUAUCUGUAUCAUAUCUGUUUUUCAUGUGCUCUACUGCAUCACAACCUUCGCUUUGGGAAGGCACAAGAUUCAGAAAGGUUUAGGUAUGCUAGGGAUACAUCAUUCGGAAAGAGUCAUUUGAACUUCUGGAGCCAGUCAACAGUUCUGCUUUGGAUUGUGUGCACCGUGUGCUUCGUCAAACAGUUUUUCUGGUUAGAUAUUAUGUACCUGACUCUGAGGCAUGGUUUUAUCUCGGCACAUCUAGCACCUGAGAUCAUUUAUUCUCAUGCUAACGGGUGAGAAAAGAGGAUUUGGCAAAGGACAGGAAACUGCGUUUGAAGCAUUUUAAUUGUAUUUGCGAUUUUGUUGAACUAGGUUGUUUUCUUUGCUGCUUUUUUGUUUCUGAUUGGUUCAAGACAUCUACUGUUGCUGAAUAUAUAAUUCUAUUUCAGUCUAUUUGAAAACUAGAGAAAUCAGGUUAGGAAAGUUUUUUUUUUUUUUUUUUCCUUGAAAUAGGUCAGGAAGGUUAUGUGCAGGGAGUUGGAGAGAUAUUUUGUUUAAUAUAUGAUUUGUGUCCCUGAUAAUUGAUUGUUGGAAAUAGUAUAAUCUUGGGUCAAUUUGAAAAGUAUUGUGAAUCCACACACAACUGUCGGAAGAAAGACAAGGACAAUGAUGGUUGAAAAUUUGGCUAUUGGCAGUGAGCAUCCCAUAAGGAUUCAAACAAUGACAACAAGUGACAUAGAUGAUGCUUCUGCCACGAUUGAAGGGGUAACUGGAGGUUAACUCUCUUCUAUGCUCAGAUUCUUGAAGCAUCAAAUGAUGAAGAGGUUGCCUUACUGUCACAGAUGUUCAGGUGAAAAGCAAGCACUACUGAAUUGUGUUGGCGUUAGCAUGAAUACGACGAAUUGUGUUGGCGUUAGCAUGAAUACGACGACUUUGUCUUCAGAUCGGCUAACACCUUUUGUGCAUACAUACCCAGAGCAACUAAACAACUAUUUUCUGGAAAAUGCUCUAGCAGCAACUGUAAUUAAGUUAAACUAAGAUAGCCUAUUUGUUACCAGCUGCUAUCCAUAUUGGAAAGAAGUGAUAUUGUACUAUUUUGUCCUUUAUAUUCUCUGUCCUCUCAAGUUUAGUUCUAUACUAACAAUUGGAGGUGAUGAACAAGAGGGAGUAGGAAAAGGAACAAUGGAUUAAAGGGAAGCCUUCAGUUCA